GACAGAGGUGCCGAGCGUUAGGCGGAAUCACUGGGUUUAAAGGGUGCGUAGGUGGCGCGUUAAGUUCGUUGUGAAAUCCCUGGGCUCAACCCAGGAAUUGCUUCGAAUACUGGCGUGCUUGAGGCUAGUAGGGGUCACUGGAACUGACGGUGGAGCGGUGAAAUGCGUAGAGAUCCGGAAGAACACCGGUGGCGAAGGCGGCCGCUGGGCAGUAGCUGACACUGAGGCGCGACAGCGUGGGGAGCAAACAGG
rnacentral:rRNA from 1 species